AAUGAACAGGUGAAUUGAAGUAUGAUUCAUUAGUAGACUAUACUCGUAAUUAUUCUAAUAGUGAUGGGAAUUGUGUUUGUCGAUGAAUUAUUGGUACUCAAAAAACCUUCGA